GAGUACCAGCUCCGCACUGGGGGUGGGGGUUUCUUAGACGCAUUCAGGUACAGAGUCAUUCCAGAAAAGAAAUGCCAGAGAAAUGUCUCAACAGGUGCGGAGUAUCCCAUCAGGCGUAUAGAAGUGACAAUGAGAUAAAGGAUUUCUGCUGAUUUAAAGAGAACAAUGUUGUGAUAAAAUUCUAACAGCUAUCUUUUGUACAAAAUUUGUGUAAUGCACGAAAUGAAAACCUGUAUAUACUGCAGUACGUAUCAUAUACUGGUACAGUUGUAGGUUUUUAUUAUCCAUUUUACACAUAAUUAUUUAGUUUAAAUUAAGAUGAUAUGAGUUAAAUAAUAAAAGAAGUGUUUCUUUUGGAUAUUGGAGUAUGGAAAUAUCAAAAAGUCAACUAAAAAUUGAUUUAUUUUGUUGCAAACGUAUGUCAAAACAUCGCGAUAACAAUAUUCCAAUUAAAGGAAAUAUUGAAAUCAUAGUUGAAUGUACAUAUAGUACAGUAAUUUUGGUAUACCUUGCAUGGCAAAGUUUGACAGAUGAUAUAGCUCUUUUGAUCAGAAAAUUGUGAUUUGAGAAUUUGAUAAGGGCUAUCUUAAGGUGUCAUAAUGUUAAUCAGUCUGGGAUAAGCACAAAGAUUCAUUCCUGUACAUGUCAAAAAAAAAAUAACUUCAAGAAAAGAAGUUUGCGUUUGCGAUUGAUUUUACAUUUAUGUAAUGUAUACGAAUUUGUGGUUUAAUAUUGCUUUUUAAUUUGUUGUUUUCUUUUAAUAAAAAUUCAGUUUUGCAAUCAU
rnacentral:misc_RNA from 1 species